rnacentral:lncRNA from 10 species
GGCGAAUCCUAAUAAUCCCUUUCCCUGGUGGCUAUAAUUAGUUUAGACAUCGGAACACAAACCAGUUUUGGACGAUGAAAUGUAAAGGGAAAGUCUCGUUCCCUCCUAGGAAAACAGAAACAGUCAACAUGCCCGAGUGCUGUGAACGUUAUGAGAGGGCCUUGUUGGGAACACGUGCUCCUGGGAAUCAGCCCUUCCCUCUGUCCUGUUCCCACUCCUCCCCGACGAUGCUCCUGCUCAGAACCCACUCCUCACCUCAGUGAAGCAACGCAGCGGGCACCCUGUGGACAAAGCUGGAUAUUGGCUCUGAAUAAAAGCGAAUCAUGGGGAAAAUCAGUGUCUCAGUAAAAUGGGGUUUUCUUAGUAGAGACCAGACUGUGAAGGACCUUGCUUCAUUCCAUCUUUGAGGAGGAUGAUGAUUCAGGGACAUUGGCCCAAGAUCAAAGUGGUAUUUUUAGGUUGUAUUUACUUAGCUAUUUGCCGUCUACCUCCUUAUUUCCAGGUAGCAACUUCCUUCUUAUAUCUGAGAUGUUUAAGAGAUGAUGAAACCAGCUUGCACACACUUCUCAAAGUGUGUUUGUUCGCAUCCAUUAUUUCACUGGGGACCGGCUAUUAUCCUCUCCAUUUUCUUUAUAAGGAUAUUGAAAGAGAGAUUAAAUAACUUGUUCAAGGCCGCAUAGCUAGUUAACAGCUGAACUAGGCUUAAAACCAACGUCUGAAGGCUCCUAUUCCAGUGGCAGCUGCUGUGUGCUUCUUCUGUUUUCCAUCAGUUUGGAAGGGAGCAUAAAGUCUACAGCCACAUGGGUGGGGUCAGCAGAAAGAUUGACCACCAAGCCUGAGGCAGGUGAGGCUGAUCUCCUGGGCACAGCCUCUCUGCACAGGAGUUCACAGAAGUGAUAUGAUCCAAAGUUGCUGAGGGAAAAGCCCUUAUUUGUGGAAUUAACGGCAGGUCUCUCUUGAGGUCAGAAUGAAUGUUAUUGACAUUAUUGUUUGUAUUGUGGUAAGGUAUACAUAAUGGAAAAUGUACCAUUUUGGCUGGACAUGGUGGCUCACGCCUGUAAU